CCUACGGGAGGCAGCAGUGGGGAAUCUUGCGCAAUGGGCGAAAGCCUGACGCAGCGACGCCUCGUGGGGGAUGAAGGCUCUCGGGUUGUAAACCCCUUUCGGCAGGAACGAAAUUGACGGUACCUGAAGAAGAAGCACCGGCCAACUACGUGCCAGCAGCCGCGGUAAUACGUAGGGUGCAAGCGUUGUCCGGAUUUAUUGGGCGUAAAGAGCUCGUAGGCGGCUUCGUAAGUCGGGUGUGAAACCUCCAGGCUUAACCUGGAGACGCCACCCGAUACUGCGAUAGCUAGAGUCUGGUAGGGGAUCACGGAAUUCCUGGUGUAGCGGUGAAAUGCGCAGAUAUCAGGAGGAACACCGAUGGCGAAGGCAGUGAUCUGGGCCAGUACUGACGCUGAGGAGCGAAAGCGUGGGGAGCAAACAGGAUUAGAUACCCUGGUAGUCCACGCCGUAAACGUUGGGCACUAGGUGUGGGUCCUUAUCAACGGGAUCCGUGCCGCAGCUACGCAUAAGUAGCCCGCCGUCGGGAGGUACGGUCGCGAAGAACGUAAACGUUAAAGGUAAAGUUAGACGGUCGUGAGACGUUGCCGAACGGACGACGACGAGGGAGUAGG
rnacentral:rRNA from 1 species